GACGAACGCUGGCGGCGUGCUUAACACAUGCAAGUCGAACGGAAAGGCCCUGCUUUUGUGGGGUUCUCGAGUGGCGCACGGGUGAGUAACACGUGAGUAACCUGCCCUUGACUUUGGGAUAACUUUAGGAAACUGGGGCUAAUAUCGGAUAGGAGCUCCUGCUGCAUGGUGGGGGUUGGAAAGUUUCGGCGGUUGGGGAUGGACUCGCGGCUUAUCAGCUUGUUGGUGGGGUAGUGGCUUACCAAGGCGUUGACGGGUAGCCGGCCUGAGAGGGUGACCGGCCACAUUGGGACUGAGGUACGGCCCAGACGCCUACGGGAGGCAGCAGUGGGAAAUAUGGCGCAAUGGGCGGAAGCCUGAUGCAGCAACGCCGCGUGCGGGAUGACGGCCUUCGGGUUAUAAACCGCUUUCGCCUGUGACGAAGCGUGAGUGACGGUAAUGGGUAAAGAAGCACCGGCUAACUACGUG
rnacentral:rRNA from 1 species